rnacentral:rRNA from 1 species
CCUACGGGUGGCUGCAGUGGGGAAUUUUACGCAAUGGGCGAAAGCCUGACGUAGCGACACCGCGUGAGCGAAGAAGCCUUUUGGGGUGUAAAGCUCUGUCAACAGGGACGAAAAAAAUGACGGUACCUGUGGAGGAAGCAUCGGCUAACUACGUGCCAGCAGCCGCGGUAAGACGUAGGAUGCAAGCGUUGUCCGGAUUUAUUGGGCGUAAAGAGUUCGUAGGCGGUUCGUUAAGUCUGAUGUUAAAGACUGGGGCUCAACCCUGGGAGUGCAUU